CGGACUUUUGGCUGAGAUCCGUGUCAGACUCCUCCGAAUAGUCGUCUGUUGGCAUCGAGGGCUGAACCCCUGAGGUGCUGCAUGAACUUGAGAGCGCGCUCUCGCACGCCAGGCAGUGGUACGAGCCGCCGCCGCCACCGCCGCCACCGCUGCCGCCGCCACUGCCGCCGCCGCCCGUGGGGACGUGAAGCACCAUCUCUUGCAGGUUCACCACAGACUGGCCGAAGAAGCAGAGGGACUUCAGGGUGAUGGAAGACAACACUGCUACUGGUACAUCAAGGUGGUGGUAGAAGAGGACAGCAUUGUGAGGAAGGGAGACCAGGUGUGCUGAAUGAGGAGAUGCUGAGAAGAAUUCACAGGCAGUGGACCUCAGAUCAUUACAUUCAGCACACUUCAGAAACUAGAUGGUAUUCAUCCCUUUGCUUCAGAGCGUACCACAGAUUCAGAACCAUAUUGCCCAAUACAGGAUUCCUGGCCAGUGCAUUCGAGUACAAAGGGAGUCUCAUUAGGAACUGAUAGAGCCACUGUCGUUCUGGCUAGAUAAGAAGACCAGGAGUAAGGAUCCAUAUAUAAGAGCUUCUUCCUGAUAGCAGUUCUGCCAGAACAGCUCUCUAAAAAUGGGCAGGAACCACAGAGGAACAGUCGUCAUUGUCCAGCUUGGUUUGGUCAAAGUUUAGAUUAACUGAGGACAUGGAGGGGCUUUCAAAGUCUUCAAUCCCUUCCACCUUGAUGGAAGAAGGGCUAAGAAGAGUUCUGGGAGACAACUCCAUGGUUUUACUCACAGGGCUUGCACUGGCCUUUUCCUCCAGCUUCCUCUUCAGAGUGUUCAUUGUGGAGGUCGGAGUUGAAGGAGAAGUGGCCGAGCUGGCUGGAAUCUGAG